GCACAAGCGGUGGAGCAUGUGGUUUAAUUCGACGCAACGCGAAGAACCUUACCUGGGCUCGAAAUGUAGUGGAAUCCGGUGGAAACAUCGGCGCCCAGCAAUGGGCCGCUAUAUAGGUGCUGCAUGGCUGUCGUCAGCUCGUGUCGUGAGAUGUUGGGUUAAGUCCCGCAACGAGCGCAACCCUUGUUACCAGUUGCUACCAUUUAGUUGAGCACUCUGGUGAGACCGCCUCGGAUAACGGGGAGGAAGGCGGGGAUGACGUCAAGUCCUCAUGGCCUUUAUGUCCAGGGCUACACACGUGCUACAAUGGCCGGUACAAACCGUCGCAAACCCAUGAGGGGGAGCUAAUCGGAAAAAGCCGGCCUCAGUUCGGAUUGGAGUCUGCAACUCGACUCCAUGAAGCUGGAAUCGCUAGUAAUCGCGGAUCAGAAUGCCGCGGUGAAUACGUUCCCGGGC
rnacentral:rRNA from 1 species